ACGAAGGGUGCAAGCGUUGUUCGGAUUUAUUGGGCGUAAAGCGCGCGCAGGCGGAAAAAUAAGUCAGAUGUGAAAUCUCGGGGCUCAACUCCGAAACUGCGUCUGAAACUGUUUUUCUAGAAUAUCAGAGAGGAAAGCGGAAUUUCGCAUGUAGGAGUAAAAUCCGUAGAGAUGCGAAGGAACACCAGAGGCGAAGGCGGCUUUCUGGCUGAUUAUUGACGCUGAGGCGCGAAAGCGUGGGGAGCAAACAGG
rnacentral:rRNA from 1 species